UUACUGACCUGGCAGGGGAGAUACACUUCUCUGCCUUGAAUGACUUAAUGUAGAUACAGGGUGAAGGUCUGUCCCUUGUACUCUGGGCAGGCUGACCCCUGCAAGAGACUAUGCUUCCAAUGCAAGCAUCUCAGCUACACAAUUCAAGGUGACGGGGGAUUGCCCUCGGGCUUUUCCUCU
rnacentral:snRNA from 14 species